UUACACAUACUACCGGUAGUAAGUAUAUUACAUUGUGCAGUGAAUAUACAUUUUUUAGAACACUCACCUCUUUACUUUAAGACAGGAUACAAUUUUGCGACGCUUUGUUCUAUAUUGCUUAUGUUGAUAUGUUUCUCGCGUUGAUUUUGAGCAGGAGGCGUUAGAUGAGGCUAACCAAGACUAUAUCAAAGCAAAGUUGCGGUUGGCAAGAUCUUCCACACGAUUGCGAAAGAUAGUGAAUUUAGCGAUGGACUGUGCUGAAUACAACCCAUGUCUAAAUGGAGGCACAUGCAUAACCUACGCAAGUUCAUGUCAAUGCCCUCCCCGAUUUACUGGACGCCAUUGUGAGACGGAGUGCACAUAUGCAUAUGGAUAUGCAUAGGAAGUGAUGUAGUAGUUGAUUUCACUUUAAUUAAACUUCCAUAAUCAGAU